ensembl:lncRNA LINC01877 long intergenic non-protein coding RNA 1877
AUUGACAUUUCCUUAAAAUUAAUCAUGAAUAAGAUUCAGACCUUCCAAAUCUUCUCAAUAUAAUUUCUACUCUUAUUUAGCUUCUAAUUUUUGCUACAUAAUUUUUUCGUGAUGACAUCAUUUUUUGUUUUAAUUUAAUUGGCAAAUUUUGUUUUGCACCUACUAUAUGCUAGGCAUGUACUAAAACAAUUGGAAUACAGAAACAAACUCAUACAGUCCAUGCGUUCACAGGAAAUUCACAGUUGAAUUUAUAAUUCCAUGUGACAACUGCAAAAUUAGAUGCAUAAACAAGACAUUGAGAUGAAAUAGAUAUAAGAAAGAAAAAUAACCUGAUAAAAUCAUAUCAUAGAGUGUCAUUCUUUUUUCAGACUUGCAAAAUGAGACUUUUGAUUAUGUCUAAUUUAAAUGUGCCAUAAACCAUAUUGUUAAUAUUAAUAUGGAAAGUAUUCCUUAAUAUAGUCCUUCAGGGUUAAAGUCAGACAAAGAUUUUCCAAGUUAAAACACAAAAACAUAAGCUUAGGAUCCCAGUGUAGAAAUAAAUUACUGAGAUGUCAUUUGAUUCACCCCCAUGCAUCCAGGUAGAUUUCUCAGCCCAGCCCAAGUCUAUGGAAAUGUAUCUGCUAUUUUCAAGAUAGUGCUAAUAGAAACGGCUCUUACAUUUUAUAUGGUGAAAGAUAUUUACUAUGCUGCAGGAAGUCCCGAUGUACCAUCAGGUAUGAAAACCCUAAGAGGGAGCAGGUGUCAGAGCAGGAGGUCACAGGGCAGCCACUGAAGGAAAGCUGCAUUCUGAGGCUGGAAGAAGGAAGAAUGUCACUGAGUAGACAAAAUAAUGGUCAUCAGGGAAUUGGUAAAGUAAAGAGGAAAAGAAGAAUCAAGACAGUACAAUGCCAUGACAGCUCAAGUGAGAAGACUUUUCAUAAGGAGAGGGGAGACAACCCCAUGAAUGAGCCAUGUAGGUCAAGAAGAAUGAAGGCUGAGAUCAGUGCUGCAGAAAUCACAGGUAGCACAAGGCAAUCUGGAGCUCAGCAGUCCGGAGCUGGUAUAAUGACUCCAUCGUCCUUCUGUCUUGGUCCUUUUGAGUGUGGCUCCAUCAUCCUCAGUGAGUGGCUUCUUCCUCACGGUUCAAGAUAGAUGUCUGAUGUUUAGUCUUAUUCCUGCCAGCAGGAAGGAAGAGCAGAAGAAUGGCAUACCCACCCCCAACCUCCUGUUUUGAGACAGAGUCUCACUUUAUUGUCCAUGCUAGAGUAUAGUGAUCAUAGCUCACUGCAGCUUCAACUUCCUGGGCUUGAGGGAUCCUCCCACCUUAGCCUCCCAAGUAGCUGUGUCUACAGGAGCACACCACCAAGCCCAGCUAAUUUUUGUAUUUUUUGUAGAGACAGGGGUCUCACUGUGUUGCCCAGACUUGUGUCCAGUUACUGAGCUCAAGUGAUCCUCCUGCCUUAGCAUCCCAACGUGCUGGGACUACAGGAAUGAGCCACCACAAGUGGCUUCCUUUCCUUUUAAGGACACAUCUCAGAAGUUGCAUACAUCUGAUUAUAUCCCAUUAGCUAUAACUCAGUCACAUAUAGCACCCAGUAGUAAUAGAAACUGAGGAAUGUGCAUGGUUUAAAAAUCAUGGGUUCUGCUACUAAGGAGGAAGAGAGAACAGAUAUUGAGAGACAACCGGAAGUCUCCAUUUCUAUGGCCCAUUCUAAUGUUUGCCAGACCUUGCUGGUCAGUGAAUUUCUAUUUUCAUUUAAAUUGGUUUUUCAUACUCCAGCAUAUUUGUUCCUAUUGAGUUCUCAAUAAAUAUCAAUAGAUUCCAUUUUUAAUGUAGCAAAAUAUAAGUUCCAAGCUCUGGGAGGUUUCAUAUAUAUUAUAUAUAAUCAAAAAUGUUGGGGGCCAUUUUUAUAUAAAACAUAAUGGUCUCCAACUUUUUUGAUCAUGAACCACAAUCAAUACAGUUUAAUCCCCCAGUAUAUUUACACUUAUUUAUCAAUAUGCUUUAUAAAAUGUACCCCUAUAUUAAUAUAUUAUAUAUAUAACAAAACAUGCACAAAAAAU